AGUACCUGUUGUGACUCCGACCCCCGAGCCUGUCUUAUCGGAGGGAGAAGGCUCCGAAAGUGAAGGAGAGGAGUUGGCCAGGCCUCCCUCUCCAGGACCCUCCUCUCUGGCAAUGCCUCAGGUGUCUCCCGAAGGAGAAGAGAUUGGCCAGGAGCCAGGUAUCGCCGAGCAGUCGCAGUCAGACAGUGACGGAGAUAAGUCUUGGCUGGAUCCACACCAGCGUCGGAGAGACAAGUGCACGCAGCAGAAAAGGAGGCAUGCCAGAGAUUAAGCUGAGUCACUGGACCACACCCCACAGGGGAUAAAAGGGAGUGUGGUGGCCAUUCAGGCUCUGUGACGGACAAAACUAAACAACUAGCGAGUCGCAUUGUAUCUCUGAAACUAUGUUAUCUGCCUGCCUUGGAUUUAAUACGGACUGGACUUGACAAUUCUGUGGCUUUGUGUAUUUGUUUUGGUUCUCUGUGAGUAAAGUUCUUGGCAAGCAGCUACUGGGUUGCUGCCAAUCCUGUUAUCGAAGGAA